GUGCCAGCAGCCGCGGUAAUACGUAGGAGGCGAGCGUUGUCCGGAAUUACUGGGCGUAAAGAGCGCGUAGGUGGCAUGAUACGACCGGUGUGAAAGCCCCCGGCUCAACUGGGGAGGGUCACUGGUAACGGUCAUGCUCGGAGUGCAGGAGAGGGAUGUGGAACUCCGGGAGUAGCGGUGAAAUGCGUAGAGACCCGGAGGAACACCAGUGGCGAAGGCGGCAUCCUGGCCUGCGACUGACGCUGUGGCGCGAAAGCUAGGGGAGCGAACGGGAUUAGAUACCCUCGUAGUCC
rnacentral:rRNA from 1 species